CUAAUACAUGCAAGUCGAGCGGAUUGAUGGGAGCUUGCUCCCAUCAAUCAGCGGCGGACGGGUGAGUAACACGUGGGUAACCUGCCUGUAAGACUGGGAUAACUCCGGGAAACCGGGGCUAAUACCGGAUAACUCAUUUCCUCGCAUGAGGAAAUGUUGAAAGGUGGCUUUUAGCUAUCACUUACAGAUGGACCCGCGGCGCAUUAGCUAGUUGGUGAGGUAACGGCUCACCAAGGCGACGAUGCGUAGCCGACCUGAGAGGGUGAUCGGCCACACUGGGACUGAGACACGGCCCAGACUCCUACGGGAGGCAGCAGUAGGGAAUCUUCCGCAAUGGACGAAAGUCUGACGGAGCAACGCCGCGUGAGUGAUGAAGGUUUUCGGAUCGUAAAACUCUGUUGUUAGGGAAGAACAAGUACCGUUCGAAUAGGGCGGUACCUUGACGGUACCUAACCAGAAAGCCACGGCUAACUACGUGCCAGCAGCCGCGGUAAUACGUAGGUGGCAAGCGUUGUCCGGAAUUAUUGGGCGUAAAGCGCGCGCAGGUGGUUUCUUAAGUCUGAUGUGAAAGCCCACGGCUCAACCGUGGAGGGUCAUUGGAAACUGGGGAACUUGAGUGCAGAAGAGGAAAGUGGAAUUCCAAGUGUAGCGGUGAAAUGCGUAGAUAUUUGGAGGAACACCAGUGGCGAAGGCGACUUUCUGGUCUGUAACUGACACUGAGGCGCGAAAGCGUGGGGAGCAAACAGGAUUAGAUA
rnacentral:rRNA from 2 species